UGGACUCUGAAUCCAGCGAUCCGAGUUC
rnacentral:piRNA from 8 species